CCACCAAAUAGCUCAAUUGGCUAGAGCGUGGUGCUCAUAGCGGCAAUGUUACAGGUUCGAUCCUGGUGUGGG